UUAAGCGACUAAGCGUACACGGUGGAUGCCCUGGCAGUCAGAGGCGAUGAAGGACGUGCUAAUCUGCGAUAAGCGUCGGUAAGGUGAUAUGAACCGUUAUAACCGGCGAUUUCCGAAUGGGGAAACCCAGUGUGUUUCGACACACUAUCAUUAACUGAAUCCAUAGGUUAAUGAGGCGAACCGGGGGAACUGAAACAUCUAAGUACCCCGAGGAAAAGAAAUCAACCGAGAUUCCCCCAGUAGCGGCGAGCGAACGGGGAGCAGCCCAGAGCCUGAAUCAGUGUGUGUGUUAGUGGAAGCGUCUGGAAAGGCGUGCGAUACAGGGUGACAGCCCCGUACACAAAAAUGCACAUGUUGUGAGCUCGAUGAGUAGGGCGGGACACGUGGUAUCCUGUCUGAAUAUGGGGGGACCAUCCUCCAAGGCUAAAUACUCCUGACUGACCGAUAGUGAACCAGUACCGUGAGGGAAAGGCGAAAAGAACCCCGGCGAGGGGAGUGAAAAAGAACCUGAAACCGUGUACGUACAAGCAGUGGGAGCACGCUUAGGCGUGUGACUGCGUACCUUUUGUAUAAUGGGUCAGCGACUUAUAUUCUGUAGCAAGGUUAACCGAAUAGGGGAGCCGAAGGGAAACCGAGUCUUAACUGGGCGUUAAGUUGCAGGGUAUAGACCCGAAACCCGGUGAUCUAGCCAUGGGCAGGUUGAAGGUUGGGUAACACUAACUGGAGGACCGAACCGACUAAUGUUGAAAAAUUAGCGGAUGACUUGUGGCUGGGGGUGAAAGGCCAAUCAAACCGGGAGAUAGCUGGUUCUCCCCGAAAGCUAUUUAGGUAGCGCCUCGUGAAUUCAUCUCCGGGGGUAGAGCACUGUUUCGGCAAGGGGGUCAUCCCGACUUACCAACCCAAUGCAAACUGCGAAUACCGGAGAAUGUUAUCACGGGAGACACACGGCGGGUGCUAACGUCCGUCGUGAAGAGGGAAACAACCCAGACCGCCAGCUAAGGUCCCAAAGUCAUGGUUAAGUGGGAAACGAUGUGGGAAGGCCCAGACAGCCAGGAUGUUGGCUUAGAAGCAGCCAUCAUUUAAAGAAAGCGUAAUAGCUCACUGGUCGAGUCGGCCUGCGCGGAAGAUGUAACGGGGCUAAACCAUGCUCCGAAGCUGCGGCAGCGACGCUGAUGCGUUGUUGGGUAGGGGAGCGUUCUGUAAGCCUGUGAAGGUGUGCUGUGAGGUAUGCUGGAGGUAUCAGAAGUGCGAAUGCUGACAUAAGUAACGAUAAAGCGGGUGAAAAGCCCGCUCGCCGGAAGACCAAGGGUUCCUGUCCAACGUUAAUCGGGGCAGGGUGAGUCGACCCCUAAGGCGAGGCCGAAAGGCGUAGUCGAUGGGAAACAGGUUAAUAUUCCUGUACUUGGUGUUACUGCGAAGGGGGGACGGAGAAGGCUAUGUUGGCCGGGCGACGGUUGUCCCGGUUUAAGCGUGUAGGCUGGUUUUCCAGGCAAAUCCGGAAAACUAAGGCUGAGGCGUGAUGACGAGGCACUACGGUGCUGAAGCAACAAAUGCCCUGCUUCCAGGAAAAGCCUCUAAGCAUCAGGUAACAUCAAAUCGUACCCCAAACCGACACAGGUGGUCAGGUAGAGAAUACCAAGGCGCUUGAGAGAACUCGGGUGAAGGAACUAAGGCAAAAUGGUGCCGUAACUUCGGGAGAAGGCACGCUGAUAUGUAGGUGAAGUCCCUCGCGGAUGGAGCUGAAAUCAGUCGAAGAUACCAGCUGGCUGCAACUGUUUAUUAAAAACACAGCACUGUGCAAACACGAAAGUGGACGUAUACGGUGUGACGCCUGCCCGGUGCCGGAAGGUUAAUUGAUGGGGUCAGCGCAAGCGAAGCUCUUGAUCGAAGCCCCGGUAAACGGCGGCCGUAACUAUAACGGUCCUAAGGUAGCGAAAUUCCUUGUCGGGUAAGUUCCGACCUGCACGAAUGGCGUAAUGAUGGCCAGGCUGUCUCCACCCGAGACUCAGUGAAAUUGAACUCGCUGUGAAGAUGCAGUGUACCCGCGGCAAGACGGAAAGACCCCGUGAACCUUUACUAUAGCUUGACACUGAACAUUGAGCCUUGAUGUGUAGGAUAGGUGGGAGGCUUUGAAGUGUGGACGCCAGUCUGCAUGGAGCCGACCUUGAAAUACCACCCUUUAAUGUUUGAUGUUCUAACGUUGACCCGUAAUCCGGGUUGCGGACAGUGUCUGGUGGGUAGUUUGACUGGGGCGGUCUCCUCCUAAAGAGUAACGGAGGAGCACGAAGGUUGGCUAAUCCUGGUCGGACAUCAGGAGGUUAGUGCAAUGGCAUAAGCCAGCUUGACUGCGAGCGUGACGGCGCGAGCAGGUGCGAAAGCAGGUCAUAGUGAUCCGGUGGUUCUGAAUGGAAGGGCCAUCGCUCAACGGAUAAAAGGUACUCCGGGGAUAACAGGCUGAUACCGCCCAAGAGUUCAUAUCGACGGCGGUGUUUGGCACCUCGAUGUCGGCUCAUCACAUCCUGGGGCUGAAGUAGGUCCCAAGGGUAUGGCUGUUCGCCAUUUAAAGUGGUACGCGAGCUGGGUUUAGAACGUCGUGAGACAGUUCGGUCCCUAUCUGCCGUGGGCGCUGGAGAACUGAGGGGGGCUGCUCCUAGUACGAGAGGACCGGAGUGGACGCAUCACUGGUGUUCGGGUUGUCAUGCCAAUGGCACUGCCCGGUAGCUAAAUGCGGAAGAGAUAAGUGCUGAAAGCAUCUAAGCACGAAACUUGCCCCGAGAUGAGUUCUCCCUGACUCCUUGAGAGUCCUGAAGGAACGUUGAAGACGACGACGUUGAUAGGCCGGGUGUGUAAGCGCAGCGAUGCGUUGAGCUAACCGGUACUAAUGAACCGUGAGGCUUAACCUU
rnacentral:rRNA from 1 species